rnacentral:rRNA from 1 species
UACGAAGGGGGCUAGCGUUGUUCGGAAUUACUGGGCGUAAAGCGCGCGCAGGCGGUCUUCCAAGUCAGUGGUGAAAGCCCGGAGCUCAACUCCGGAACUGCCAUUGAAACUGUAAGACUUGAGGAUGAGAGAGGUGAGUGGAAUUCCCAGUGUAGAGGUGAAAUUCGUAGAUAUUGGGAAGAACACCGGUGGCGAAGGCGGCUCACUGGCUCAUAUCUGACGCUCAGGCGCGACAGCGUGGGGAGCAAACAGG